rnacentral:rRNA from 1 species
GAAUCGCUAAUGUACCCCGGACUCUGGGAUAGCUAGCCGAAAGGUUAGGUAAUACCAGAUGACAUAUUCCUGCCGCAUGGCUGGGAAUCUCAAAGGUCCGCCGGUCUGGGAGCAGGCGAUUUCGUAUCAGCUAGUUGGUGAGGUAACGGCUCACCAAGGCGACGACGCGUAGCCGGACUGAGAGGUUGGCCGGCCACAUCGGGACUGAGACACUGCCCGG